rnacentral:lncRNA from 1 species
GUGGUUGGCUACUGAGGUACAAGCAAGAGACCUCAGAUUAGGAUGGUGGUAGCAGAUAUUGUGUAGAAAGGACAGAUGUUAGAGCCAUUUUUAGGGAACAUUGAAGAACUGGAAUAAUGGACAUGAAUGGAGAAGAUAGGCAUCCAUAUUGGACCAGCCCCUGUCCACAGUAUUGAAGAUAUCCUUAUGUAGAAAAAAAGACAAAGGUUCCUGAUGAAAGUGGAAUUAUACCUCCAGAUUGCCUUGGAAGUUGAGCUGCAACAUCAUCUUUUCCCUGAAGCUCCAGCCUGCUAGCCUACCAGCACAUGCUGCAGAUUUUGGACUUGCCAGCCCCCACAAUUAUGUGAGCCCAUUCCUUAAAAAUAAAUUCAGUUCAAU